UACGUAGGGGGCAAGCGUUGUCCGGAAUUAUUGGGCGUAAAGAGCGUGUAGGCGGCCACGCAGGUCCGUUGUGAAAACUGGAGGCUCAACCUUCAGACGUCGACGGAAACCGUGUGGCUAGAGUCCGGAAGAGGAGAGUGGAAUUCCUGGUGUAGCGGUGAAAUGCGCAGAUAUCAGGAAGAACACCAAUGGCGAAGGCAGCUCUCUGGGACGGUACUGACGCUGAGACGCGAAAGCGUGGGGAGCGAACAGG
rnacentral:rRNA from 1 species